rnacentral:lncRNA from 1 species
CAGUUUUCAUCCACUGUGGCAAUGGCACUCAGCACUUCUCCACGCCAGAAGCUUAACUGGUCAGGUCUUGCCACAGUGUGGUCACAGAAAGCCCAAACUGCUCUGUGAGCCUAUGCUGUGCUGGGUGCUGAGGCCACAAGCUCCUCCUAAGAAGGAGUCUCUGAAGGUGCCCUGCUUCACGUGAACCAACACACUCAUUGUUGGGAGUAGCCCACUGGAUGGUGUACUGGACUUUAAGGCUCCACUCCGUUUCUGUGGGGACCCCAGACAAGCCAAACAGUCUCCCAAGCCCAACACUUCUGCCUGGUGCCACUUCCUCUGCUGGCAGAGGUUUUUCCUGUGUACCCUCAGCUGCAGUUUCUUGUUGCCCAAGUCUCCACCAGGGAAGAGGGAAGUCCUCAGUGCCCCCUGAGGCAUAGACCAGGAGACCUGGGUCAGAUGCUCCCACCAGCUGACUGGUAUAGAGGAGUUGAACGAGCUGAUGGGUUGGGAGCUCCCUCCAAGAAGCUCCCCAGAGACUCUGGGCCAGCCACCCCCACCCCUAUGCUUCCAGUGCCACAUGGCUUAUGCAUUUUUCUGUAGGGGUGAAGGCAGGCAUGGAGGGGCAGGGGCUCAGGUUGACCCAAGGGCAGGUGGUGGUACUCAAAGAGCAGGUCCAGAUGGAAGGUAAACACCCAUAAGCUGCAGCAGGAGUAGUAACUCUGGACAGGGAAGGGCACUGAGUACAGGUAGAAUAAUCCGGUGGGCAGACACAGAAGGGACAGGACAGCAGGCUUGCAACUUCCCGGAGACUGGAAAACCACAACAACUGCUUGGUGUUGAGGAGGCCCAGGAUGAAGGCAUGAAAGUGGCUGUGGAGGCUUCUCAGCAGAGCCAAACGGCUGCCUUGGCUAUACCAGGAUCCCAGGGAACUGCUGGAGUCUGGCUUCAUGGAUGUCUCCACCAGGGACUGCUUCUGUGUUGUCCAGUGAUGAGGUCUUAUAGGAAAGGUUUCAGCCCAUUUGCCAAGCAGGGAGUGGAGGGAUGGCACCAUCAAGUGCCCCACACCCGGGUUCAGCCUGAUGUCCCCCAGCUGGGCCUUCUGAACCAGGUUCCAGGAAACCCUGAAGUGUGAGAUGAUUUUAUCCACUGAGGCACUGACAGGAGACCUUUUUUCUACUCCUUCAGCUGCCCAGUCCCACUAUGGACAUCUGCCAUCCACAGCCGCUGGGCCCCAGGAACACCUGCAAAUGACUCAGAACCAUGGAGUACUCCGUCCGGAAAGUCCCAGAGCAAAAUGACUACACUAAACCCCCACCCAGCUGACUGGGGCCUAUAGGACAGGAGAUGACUAGGCCUGGGACCUGCAUAUAAUUUCAAAAUAGCAUUUAGUGCAAAAAGUUGAAACCACAAGGUAUCUACCUAAUUUAGCUCUGGUGACUGGGGUAUAUGAAUAUUAAUUCUCCCACUCAAGUUCUUACAAAUCCAGUGUAUUAAUUUUUGCAACUAUUAUUAUUAUUAUGAAGCAGCAUGGCUGGUUGAAAGACAAAUCCUCAACUACUC